ensembl:lncRNA
UGAGAGUGUCCAUUAAAGAAUUAUCUUGGGGACUUCCCUGGUGCUUCAACAGCUAGGACCCUGUGGUCCCAAUGCAGAGGGGCCUGGGUUCGAUCCCUGGUUGGGGAACUAGAUCCAACCAGGGAACUAGACCCAACGUGCUGAAACUGAGUUCACGUGCCCAAACUAAAAGAUCCCACUGCCUAGACUAAGACCCAGUGGAGCCAAAGAAAUUUAAAAGAACAUUAAAAAAGUAAAGAAGUAUCAUGGAGACAGAAUCCUUGAGAGGGGAAUGUGUUUAUUUAGAGCCAUCACCAGGUCCAGACUGGACUGUGGCCGGUGAUGGAGGCACAGGCAAAUCCUGCUGAAGGGUGGCGCUGGGCCAGCUGAUGCAGGGCUGAAGGGAGUGGGGGGCACCUCCUGGGUCUGUGGUCUGGAUGUCGGCCUUGUGGGAUGGGCUAGGUCAGCCAAGUCCGAAGCACGAGGGGCAAUGGGCUCCAGGAAUCAGGGGCCUGUGGGAACUGCAGUCAUUUCGGAGACUGGGAAAGAAAUGACUUCCUCAAGGCGGAGGAGGGGGGGAUCCAGAACGGACAGAAGACACGAAGAGGUCCCCCUUCUACUGGAUCUGGGAAGCAAUCUGCUGGGACUGGAGAGUUGGGCUCCCCAUUCUAGAAAAGAUGGAUUCAAAACCGCCACUUGCUAAUCUGGGAUGGGGCACCAGUCACUUCCUAGAUUCCUGGGUUCCUGGAAGCCACUUGAGGUCCCUGGACACAGCUUCAGAUCUUGCACUGGCAGCACACGGGGGCACAGCAGCUGGACUGAGAGCAACUGGGUCUGCAGCAGCUGGACUGGGAGCAGCAAACGGGGACACAGCAGCUGGACUGGGAGCAGCAAACGGGGACACAGCAGCUGGACUGGGAGCAGCAGGGCUUGCAGCAGCUGGACUGGGAGCAGCAAACAGGGACACAGCAGCUGGACUGGGAGCAGC